rnacentral:rRNA from 1 species
UACGUAGGUGGCAAGCGUUGUCCGGAUUUACUGGGCGUAAAGGGAGCGUAGGCGGAUUUUUAAGUGGGAUGUGAAAUACCCGGGCUCAACCUGGGUGCUGCAUUCCAAACUGGAAAUCUAGAGUGCAGGAGGGGAAAGUGGAAUUCCUAGUGUAGCGGUGAAAUGCGUAGAGAUUAGGAAGAACACCGGUGGCGAAGGCGUCUUUCUGGACUGUAACUGACGCUGAGGCUCGAAAGCGUGGGGAGCAAACAGG